rnacentral:rRNA from 1 species
ACAAUGGAGAGUUUGAUCCUGGCUCAGGAUGAACGCUAGCUACAGGCUUAACACAUGCAAGUCGAGGGGAAACGACAUCGAAAGCUUGCUUUUGAUGGGCGUCGACCGGCGCACGGGUG